AACGAACGCUGGCGGCAUGCCUAACACGUGCAAGUCGAACGAGACCUUCGGGCUUAGUGGCGCACGGGUGCGUAACGCGUGGGAACCUGCCCUUAGGUUCGGAAUAACUCCCCGAAAGGGGUGCUAAUACCGGAUAAUGUCUUCGGACCAAAGAUUUAUCGCCUUUGGAUGGGCCUGCGUUGGAUUAGCUAGUUGGUAGGGUAAAAGCCUGCCAAGGCGACGUUCCAUAGCUGGUUUGAGAGGAAGAUCCGCCACACUGGGCCUGAGACACGGCCCAGACUCCUACGGGAGGCAGCAGUGGGGAAUAUUGGACAAUGGGCGAAGGCCUGAUCCAGCACUGCCGCGUGAGUGAUGAAGGCCGUAGGGUUGUGAAGCUCUUUGACCCGGGGUGAUAAUGACAGUACCGGGAGAAUAAGCACCGGCUAACUCCGUG
rnacentral:rRNA from 1 species